rnacentral:rRNA from 1 species
UACGUAGGUGGCAAGCGUUGUCCGGAUUUACUGGGCGUAAAGGGCGCGUAGGUGGUUUGAUAAGGGUGUGGUGAAAGCCCGGAGCUCAACUCCGGGUCUGCCGUGCCGACUGUCAAACUCGAGGGCUGUAGAGGCAGACGGAAUUCCGGGUGUAGCGGUGGAAUGCGUAGAGAUCCGGAGGAAGACCGGUGGCGAAGGCG